UACGGAGGGGGCAAGCGUUGUUCGGAAUUACUGGGCGUAAAGCGCGCGUAGGCGGUGCGGUAAGUCAGGGGUUAAAGGCUGCAGCUCAACUGCAGUAAGGCCUUUGAUACUAUCGCGCUAGAGUACCAGAGAGGAUGGCGGAAUUCCCGGUGUAGCGGUGAAAUGCGUAGAUAUAUGGAGGAACACCGGUGGCGAAAGCGGCUCUCUGGACUGUAACUGACACUGAGGCUCGAAAGCGUGGGUAGCAAACAGG
rnacentral:rRNA from 1 species